rfam:Felis catus isolate Cinnamon breed Abyssinian chromosome D2, whole genome shotgun sequence.
ACCUGGGUGGCUCAGUCGGUUGAGCGUCUGACUUCGUCUCAGGUCAUGAUCUCAUGGUCCGUGGGUUCUAGCCCCGCGUCAGGCU